rnacentral:rRNA from 1 species
AUGCUUAACACAUGCAAGUCGAACGGUAACAGAUAAGAUGAUCUCUUCGGAGUGAAUCUUUGCUGACGAGUGGCGGACGGGUGAGUAAUGCUUGGGAAUCUGCCCAAUAGUGGGGGAAAACUCGGGGAAACCCGGGCUAAUACCGCAUAAUCUCUACGGAGGAAAGAGGGCCUCUACAUGUAAGCUCUCGCUAAUGGAUGAGCCCAAGUCAGAUUAGCUUGUUGGUAAGGUAAUGGCUUACCAAGGCUACGAUCUGUAGCUGGUCUGAGAGGACGACCAGCCACACUGGGACUGAGACACGGCCCAGACUCCUACGGGAGGCAGCAGUGGGGAAUAUUGCACAAUGGGCGCAAGCCUGAUGCAGCAAUGCCGCGUGUGUGAAGAAGGCUCUAGGGUUGUAAAGCACUUUCAAUAGAGAAGAAAAGCUUGAAAUUAAUACUUUCAAGCCUUGACGUAACCUAUACAAGAAGCACCGGCUAAUUCCGUGCCAGCAGCCGCGGUAACACGGGAGGUGCGAGCGUUAAUCGGAAUUACUGGGCGUAAAGCGAGCGUAGGCUGUUAAUUAAGUCGAAUGUGAAAUCCCCGGGCUCAACCUGGGAACUGCAUCCGAAACUAUUUAACUAGAGUAUGGGAGAGGAAAGUAGAAUUUCCGGUGUAGCGGUGAAAUGCGUAGAUAUCGGAAGGAACACCAGUGG